GGGGGAGGGGGUCCAGCCCAGCAACGCCCACGCCCACCCCCUGCCUCUGCGGGUGAUUUAGCAACCUCUCAGUCAGUAACCAGGGACACGCCCCCCAUGCAGUCUCCAUGGCAACAGCCAAUGGGAGCCCGACAGACCAUGUCACCCUGGAACAAUGCAACCAGGAAGCUGGGGGGGGGGGACCCAUCCUGGCCCUGGAAUCCCUGGGGGCCCCGGGGGGAGGGAAACGGGGCUGCUGUGAUGGCAGGUGUUCUGGAGAGACGGCCAAGGGCUGCAGGGACCAGCAGGAUCACAGGAGCAGUGCCAGGGCGACAGGCGGAGUCGCAGGCAGCGAUUGUUAGGGCGACAGGCGGAGUCGCAGGCAGCGAUUGUUAGGGCGACAGGCGGAGGAACAGGCAGCGAUGUUAGGGCGACAGGCGGAGGAACAGGCAGCGAUUGUUAGGGCGACAGGCGGAGUCGCAGGCAGCGAUUGUUAGGGCGACAGGCGGAGUCACAGGCAGGGAUUGUUAGGGGGACGGGCGGAGUCACAGGCAGCGAUUGUUAGGGCGACAGGCGGAGUCGCAGGCAGCGAUUGUUAGGGCGACAGGCGGAGUCGCAGGCAGCGAUUGUUAGGGGGACAGGCGGAGUCACAGGCAGCGAUGUUAGGGCGACAGGCGGAGUCGCAGGCAGCGAUUGUUAGGGUGACAGGUGCAGUAACAGGCAGCGAUUGUUAGGGGGACAGGCGGAGGAACAGGCAGCGAUUGUUAGGGGGACAGGCGGAGGAACAGGCAGCGAUUGUUAGGGGGACAGGCGGAGUCACAGGCAGGGAUUGUUAGGGGGACAGGCAGAGGAACAGGCAGCGAUUGUUAGGACGACAGGCGGAGUCGCAGGCAGCGAUUGUUAGGGCGACAGGCGGAGUCACAGGCAGCGAUGUUAGGGCAACAGGCGGAGUCACAGGCAGCGAUGUUAGGGGGACAGGCGGAGUCGCAGGCAGCGAUUGUUAGGGCGACAGGCGGAGUCACAGGCAGCGAUGUUAGGGGGACAGGCAGAGGAACAGGCAGCGAUGUUAGGGGGACAGGCGGAGUCACAGGCAGCGAUUGUUAGGGCGACAGGCGGAGGAACAGGCAGCGAUGUUAGGGCAACAGGCGGAGUCACAGGCAGCGAUGUUAGGGGGACAGGUGGAGUCACAGGCAGCGAUGUUAGGACAACAGGCGGAGUCGCAGGCAGCGAUUGUUAGGGCGACAGGCGGAGUCACAGGCAGGGAUUGUUAGGGCGACAGGCGGAGUCACAGGCAGGGAUUGUUAGGGGGACGGGCGGAGUCACAGGCAGCGAUUGUUAGGGCGACAGGCGGAGUCGCAGGCAGCGAUUGUUAGGGCGACAGGCGGAGUCGCAGGCAGCGAUUGUUAGGGGGACAGGCGGAGUCACAGGCAGCGAUGUUAGGGCGACAGGCGGAGUCGCAGGCAGCGAUUGUUAGGGUGACAGGUGCAGUAACAGGCAGCGAUUGUUAGGGGGACAGGCGGAGUCACAGGCAGGGAUUGUUAGGGGGACAGGCAGAGGAACAGGCAGCGAUUGUUAGGACGACAGGCGGAGUCGCAGGCAGCGAUUGUUAGGGCGACAGGCGGAGUCACAGGCAGCGAUGUUAGGGCAACAGGCGGAGUCACAGGCAGCGAUGUUAGGGGGACAGGCGGAGUCGCAGGCAGCGAUUGUUAGGGCGACAGGCGGAGUCACAGGCAGCGAUGUUAGGGGGACAGGCAGAGGAACAGGCAGCGAUGUUAGGGGGACAGGCGGAGUCACAGGCAGCGAUUGUUAGGGCGACAGGCGGAGUCACAGGCAGCGAUUGUUAGGGCGACAGGUGGAGUCACAGGCAGCGAUUGUUAGGGCGACAGGCGGAGGAACAGGCGGAGGAAUGGGCAGCGAUUGUUAGGGCGACAGGCGGAGUCACAGGCAGCGAUGUUAGGGUGACAGGCGGAGUCACAGGCAGCGAUGUUAGGGGACAGGCGGAGGGACAGGCAGAGAAACACACACAAC